rnacentral:lncRNA from 1 species
CUUGAAGUUUCACAAAACUUUAUAUUCACUGAAAAAUAUAAUUUUAAUCCUUAAGUUUCAGUGAAUCAUUUUAAACUUAGAAACUUCAAACAUAAUUUAUGUUUAAGCCCUUGAAGCUUCUAGUUUAUCCAUACAACCCUUUAAUAUUUGAAUCUCUAAAAGAUCUUGAAGAUAUGGAGUUAAUCAUAUUUAUUUAAUGGUUGGAUUUUUGAUGAUUCUUGAUAAUGAACUAUUUGAGAAUCAUAUCUACUUUUAAGUCUUUAAUACUUAGUGAGAAAUUGAUUUUUCAUUGAAGUUUUUCACUAAAAAUAAAGCAAGCUUAGGUCUAUGGUUAGACCUUAAACAAAACAGACUUAAACAAAGUAGAAACAUCUAUUUAACAGAUGUUGUAGUGGUGUUUGAACACCAUCGAUCAAACUAAAAAAGGAACAUCUAAAUUAGAUGGCAUCGAGUGGGCAUAGCAAGC